rnacentral:misc_RNA from 1 species
UAAAUACCAAGCUGCUAAAACAGCGCAGUAUGGUUCCUCCAUUAUUUGACGAAUGUGUGGCACUAUUAAUUCCAGAUAAGCUUCGGAUGUGGCACCCAUUUCGGGGAGAAGAUCUUCCAAAUCUCUUGCUAUUGCUUUAACUUUACACUCACUGAUUUUGCAGAGAUAUUGCGUACGAGUAAAGGACAUCAAGUCACUAUCUUUAGCUGCAUGUGUGACCAGAUUCAAACUUUGAACGAGACUGUUAUAUUCUUGCAGCAUUUCAACAAUACCAAAUAAUCGCUGAAAGUAUUUAGGAAAUGGAAAUAAGCUCCCGGAUAAAAUCGACUGCAGCAACUGAUGGGCAGACGGUGGAGAUUGUAGCUUUUGGGUAUAACAUCGGCCUGGAGCAACAAUGCUACUGCAUUUCUCACACAUCUCGGCAAAGCAUCUGGGGAUGCUUUCAACAGGCUUAAACACGAGGUGAAUCUUUCACUGAACGUCAUACGACCAGCUUUUGCCGAGGCUCUAAGCUUCGAAGAAAGGAAUAUUUCGACUAUCAGACAUCCGAGUAUUUGUUGUUCUUUAAUCCGACUAGAUGCAAUAAUCUGUUUGUAAUUUGCUGAACUAUCAUGGGUCGUCAAACUUGGUUUGUACAUUUGAUGAGUUGCUUUGUUCAGAAACGCAUACGUCGUUUCUACCUGAAUAAGCGCCGCUACAGGAUUGAAAUCUUUUGGGAGAAUAAUUUGCCCCAAUGAUUUAUCAGACUUUAGAGUUUCAUCUGGAGCAAGUAAGGAACCACGAGACCGACUCAGCAAGCGGCUUAAAGCCAUUGGCGAAGACCUAGAAGGGUUUGCAUUUGCUACAGAUUCGUCCUCUUCAAUACCUGAACUGUGCCCUUCGUCUUCACUAAUUCUUUCUCCGGAACGAUCAUU